GAGUGGCGAACGGGUGAGUAACACGUGGGUAACCUGCCCAGAAGUGGGGGAUAACACCUGGAAACAGAUGCUAAUACCGCAUAACAAAGUAAACCGCAUGGUUUACUUUUAAAAGAUCGCUUCGGCUAUCACUUCUGGAUGGACCCGCGGCGUAUUAGCUAGUUGGUGAGAUAAAGGCUCACCAAGGCAGUGAUACGUAGCCGACCUGAGAGGGUAAUCGGCCACAUUGGGACUGAGACACGGCCCAGACUCCUACGGGAGGCAGCAGUAGGGAAUCUUCCACAAUGGACGAAAGUCUGAUGGAGCAACGCCGCGUGAGUGAUGAAGGCUUUAGGGUCGUAAAACUCUGUUGUUGGAGAAGAACGUGUGUGAGAGUAACUGCUCAUGCAGUGACGGUAUCCAACCAGAAAGCCACGGCUAACUACGUGCCAGCAGCCGCGGUAAUACGUAGGUGGCAAGCGUUAUCCGGAUUUAUUGGGCGUAAAGCGAGCGCAGGCGGCCUUUUAAGUCUAAUGUGAAAGCCUUCGGCUUAACCGAAGAAGUGCAUUGGAAACUGGAAGACUUGAGUGCAGAAGAGGACAGUGGAACUCCAUGUGUAGCGGUGAAAUGCGUAGAUAUAUGGAAGAACACCAGUGGCGAAGGCGGCUGUCUGGUCUGUAACUGACGCUGAGGCUCGAAAGCAUGGGUAGCGAACAGGAUUAGAUACCCUGGUAGUCCAUGCCGUAAACGAUGAAUGCUAAGUGUUGGAGGGUUUCCGCCCUUCAGUGCUGCAGCUAACGCAUUAAGCAUUCCGCCUGGGGAGUACGACCGCAAGGUUGAAACUCAAAAGAAUUGACGGGGGCCCGCACAAGCGGUGGAGCAUGUGGUUUAAUUCGAAGCUACGCGAAGAACCUUACCAGGUCUUGACAUCUUCUGCCAAUCUAAGAGAUUAGACGUUCCCUUCGGGGACAGAAUGACAGGUGGUGCAUGGUUGUCGUCAGCUCGUGUCGUAAGGUGUUGGGUUAAGUCCCGCAACGAGCGCAACCCUUAUUAGUAGUUGCCAGCAUUAAGUUGGGCACUCUAGUGAGACUGCCGGUGACAAACCGGAGGAAGGUGGGGACGACGUCAAAUCAUCAUGCCCCUUAUGACCUGGGCUACACACGUGCUACAAUGGACGGUACAACGAGUUGCGAGACCGCGAGGUUUAGCUAAUCUCUUAAAACCGUUCUCAGUUCGGACUGCAGGCUGCAACUCGCCUGCACGAAGUUGGAAUCGCUAGUAAUCGCGGAUCAGCAUGCCGCGGUGAAUACGUUCCCGGGCCUUGUACACACCGCCCGUCACACCAUGAGAGUUUGUAACACCCAAAGCCGGUGGAGUAACCUUCGGGAGCUACCGUCUAAGGUGGGACAGAUGAUUGGGGUGAAGUCG
rnacentral:rRNA from 1 species